AUGAAUUAAUUCCUACCACUGUCAGCUGGAAGCCAACCCUGGCUGAGCCCUGCACUGGCCAGAGGCAACUCAGUGUGAGCCAGUCCAGGGUCAGAUCCUGGGCUGAUGCCACCUGAGGGCGGGGUGGGCGUAGCCUCCGUGGACAUGGGAGACUCCAGGUGCAGGAGAGAAGGAGGUGGACUUCCUCUGGGUCUUCCCAAAUUCUUCAGGAGACUCUAGUCACGAAAUUUCCUGGCUUGGUGGUAACAGAAGAGUCUCCUCCAGGAUGGAUGAGCCAGUCCUAACACAGGACCAGCAUUGCUCUGCCACGUCCAAGCCUCCUCUGAGAUUCUUCCUCCAUGCAACCACUUCCCCUGGGGCAUGGCCACCUCCCUGGAAGCCGCCAACAUGCUCGGCUGGGCCCUGACACUCUGGAGGCUUGAGAAUCUCUCUAUUUUUGAAUGAUGUGCUUAUCCUCUGCCCCCAGGCUGUUCCCUUGAAGAAUCCACCUCCCUGCAGGGUUGGGGGAGCGCAGAAUGGGAGGAAGAUACAAAUACCAAUUUUAUAGCAAGAAUGCAAAAAGAGGCCAGCGCGGUGGCUCGAGCCUGGAAUCCCAGCGCUUUGGA
rnacentral:antisense_RNA from 1 species